UACGUAGGGUGCGAGCGUUGUCCGGAAUUACUGGGCGUAAAGAGCUCGUAGGUGGUUUGUCGCGUUGUUCGUGAAAUUCCCUGGCUUAACUGGGGGCGUGCGGGCGAUACGGGCAGACUGGAGUACUGCAGGGGAGACUGGAAUUCCUGGUGUAGCGGUGGAAUGCGCAGAUAUCAGGAGGAACACCCGUAGCGAAGGCGGCACUCUGGGCCGAUACUGACACUGAGGAGCGAAAGCGUGGGGAGCGAACAGG
rnacentral:rRNA from 1 species